AGCCCAUUACAACAAGAAUUCCCGAAAACCAAAACACCGCAGGCUCAAAAAAUAGCCAGCCCCAAGCCCAACUUUACUUUUACUUGCGAAUUAUCUAUAAAGUAAAAAAUAUAAUUUUCUUUUUCACCGUUUACUUGCGUUCACUUGCCGAGAUCCUUUUCCACUCGCCCGAAAAAUAAGAUACCUAAAAAGAGCCCAAGUGUCUCUGUGACUUUACCGAACCAGAAGCGAGAUGGACACCGACGUGACCAUGGUCCCAGCGGGUGAGGCUAGCUCAAGCGUCGCCGGACCUUCAUCUUCCACCAAGAAGCCCAAACGUUUCGAAAUUAAGAAGUGGAAUGCCGUCGCUCUUUGGGCCUGGGGUCUAUUCUCACGCCUCCAAAACCCUAAUCCUGAUAUUCAUAUAUAUGAUUUCGUUUUUGUGUUUUUGGAUUGUCUUUACCUGUGUCUUCCUGAUUUCGUUUGUGGCCUUUGAUGGUUUCCAGAUAUUGUUGUGGAUAACUGUGCGAUUUGUAGGAACCAUAUUAUGGAUCUUUGCAUUGAGUGCCAAGCGAAUCAAGCAAGCGCUACAAGUGAGGAGUGCACUGUUGCCUGGGGUGUGUGCAAUCAUGCUUUUCACUUCCACUGCAUCAGCCGAUGGCUCAAGACCCGCCAAGUGUGCCCUCUUGACAAUAGCGAGUGGGAAUUCCAAAAGUAUGGCCACUAGAAUCACGGUGACAAUCGGGACAGCUGGGUCCAAAAUUUGAAGUUGUGUGAAUCAUCACCUGAAAUUAAGGCAGCGGCCAGUCUCCAGUAACUCAACAUUGUAAUAGAUCCUUAUAACAUAUUGGAUCAACAGUUUGUUUGUUUCUGAAUUUUUCCCAGCAGUCUUCCGACCCUAUUUGUGGGGUUAGAUGUGCAAUUUCCUUGUGACCAAUGCACUAUUUUGUGUUGCAAUGUUAUUAUAUUGGUUUAUGGUUGCUUAAGCUCAAAAUGGAGUUGUGAUCUCCAUGAUCACUAAACCGUCAAAAUGUCUGCUUGCUAACUGCGAGGAUGUCUCUGCUUGUUUGGGAUCACGGAUUGUAUUUUGGUUUUCUUUUCUUUUUAAUCGAACAAGAUGUGGUUCAAACUUGAGUUGGCUUAAAGCCAGCUAAAAGGGAAAAGGGAUGCCAUGGCUGCGAGGUACGUUUUAGACCAAGUUUUGGACGUCAAUAUAUUUGCAUCAGGAAACAUUUAAGGCUAUUUAAGGCAAU
rnacentral:misc_RNA from 1 species